GGCACGACGAGCUCAAGGAGAGACCCAUUGCGUCCACCAUUUUUUUUAAAGGAAUGGAGCGCACGAACGCUCAUGCACCAAGAAAGGCUUCAGAAGUCAUAACUGUAAACAAACCCAAAGCAAGAACAUCGUAAAGCAAGAUAUCUGUGAGAUGGAUGGACCAGGAAGACCUCAACAUAAAGUAAAUCAGAUUCCAGAAGAGGAUACUGAUCUUCCUACUCAGUCACAGGGGGAAAGAUAUCUUAUAGGUCAGACUGUUUGUCUUUCCAGCCUAGCAUUGUCUGACUGGCAAUAGCUCUUCAGGGUCUCAGGCAUUUCCCCAUCACUGGUGUCAUGCCCUUGCUAGAGGAAUCGUCCUGAGACAAGGAAGCAGAGCCCCCAGAAACCAGGGACAUACCACAUCAAGCACUGGCACCAGAUCAGGAGGAGCCUGGGCCUUCAGGGGAGAUGACUCCAGGUCCUUCCCUGCCAGGGGGAGGGGACUCUGACUCUGGCGCAUUGGCUGAGCAACCCCCCAUCCCCCAGGAGCAUUGUCGCUUCAUGCGUCAAGCCACUAGGCCUCCUGUAAGAAGGAAUGCUCAUUUGAAAAAAUGGUCUCUUCAGGAGAAAGGAACUCUUCUUGAGUAGGGCUCUGGUCAGAGAGCUCUGAUGGACAGCAGCUGACCCUGGGUGGGGCUCAGCAGCCUUUGUGAAUAAAAGCCAGCAGUGCGAGCUUGCUAGAAAUAAGGCCUCAUCAGCUUCUCCUGCCUUGUCUCCUGGCACUGCCUUGUUCUUGAACCCCUGUGCUACAACCUUGGACUCCAGCUUGACUCUGCUACUGGAUUAGGGCUUCUCCACCACUAUUACUGGGAAAAAUCUACUACGAAAGUCAACAUUCUGGGAGCUGAAGACCAAAGUGCAAACAAUUUAUUUGAUUCCUCUGGCCUUUAAUUAAAUAUUUUGACAGGCCUUAUAGUUCAUUGCUUUAAAGUGAGUGCCUGCGAGCAGGAGAUUAAUUUAUGCUUAUUUUAAUUGCUGGAUUCCAUUGCAGCAGUUGCUGCAUCAAAAAACAAAUACAUCACAUAAAUAAAAUAUGAAUUCAAACAAAUGAGUAAUAAUGAAUAUAUCAGCCUAAAGGCAAUUGGUGUUUUAUAUCAGAGGCUAUUUAUGAUGUACUAAUUAAGUCAGAUUCACAUUCCUGAUACAGUUUUGAAUAUUUGGCCUUUGUUCUUCCUUUAUGUACAUGUCAUGUACCUCAUGAUUUUAUAUACAUUGAGGUUGCCCCCUCCCACCACUUUUUAUUGGAUUUUUUCCAGAUGUGAUUUCUUACACACACUUUUCAGGUUCUUGUAAGGUGUUCUCCUUUGGUGAUAAAGUGUCUGGAGUUAGGGAGGGGGACAGAUGCAUAAUAAUCUGAAUUGCAGUAACAUUUUAUCACCACAUACAUUAGCUUCCUCUUCCAAACAGGUACUAAAUACUGUGGGUGCAAUCCUGCCCUUUGUAAACAAGCUGGGCAGCAUGUAUUCAGAGUAGAACAAAGACUCAGAGCUAUUUGUACUGCAUGAUGGAUGAGGGCAAGAAAUCAUGGUCUAUGCUAGAACAAGUGAUUCCAGACCUUUCCUCUACAUGUGUGUGUGUGAG